GACGAACGCUGGCGGCGUGCUUAACACAUGCAAGUCGAACGGAAAGGCCCUGCUUUUGUGGGGUGCUCGAGUGGCGAACGGGUGAGUAACACGUGAGUAACCUGCCCCUGACUUUGGGAUAACUUCAGGAAACUGGGGCUAAUACCGGAUAGGAGCUCCUGCUGCAUGGUGGGGGUUGGAAAGUUUCGGCGGUUGGGGAUGGACUCGCGGAUUAUCAGCUUGUUGGUGGGGUAGUGGCUUACCAAGGCUUUGACGGGUAGCCGGCCUGAGAGGGUGACCGGCCACAUUGGGACUGAGAUACGGCCCAGACUCCUACGGGAGGCAGCAGUGGGGAAUAUUGCACAAUGGGCGGAAGCCUGAUGCAGCAACGCCGCGUGCGGGAUGACGGCCUUCGGGUUGUAAACCGCUUUCGCCUGUGACGAAGCGUGAGUGACGGUAAUGGGUAAAGAAGCACCGGCUAACUACGUG
rnacentral:rRNA from 1 species